AGUCGAGCGCAGGAAGCUCACGGAACUCUUCGGAGGGAAGUGAAGGGAAUGAGCGGCGGACGGGUGAGUAACACGUAAGGAACCUGCCCCAAGGAUUGGGAUAACUCCGAGAAAUCGGAGCUAAUACCGAAUAGUUCUUCAGACCGCAUGGUCUGAUGAUGAAAGGCGCUCCGGCGUCACCUUGGGAUGGCCUUGCGGUGCAUUAGCUAGUUGGUGGGGUAAUGGCCCACCAAGGCGACGAUGCAUAGCCGACCUGAGAGGGUGAUCGGCCACACUGGGACUGAGACACGGCCCAGACUCCUACGGGAGGCAGCAGUAGGGAAUCUUCCACAAUGGACGAAAGUCUGAUGGAGCAACGCCGCGUGAGUGAUGAAGGUUUUCGGAUCGUAAAACUCUGUUGUAAGGGAAGAACAAGUACGAGAGGUAAUGCUCGUACCUUGACGGUACCUUGCGAGAAAGCCACGGCUAACUACGUGCCAGCAGCCGCGGUAAUACGUAGGUGGCAAGCGUUGUCCGGAAUUAUUGGGCGUAAAGCGCGCGCAGGCGGCCUUUUAAGUCUGAUGUGAAAGCCCCCGGCUCAACCGGGGAGGGUCAUUGGAAACUGGAAGGCUUGAGUACAGAAGAGAAGAGUGGAAUUCCAUGUGUAGCGGUGAAAUGCGUAGAGAUGUGGAGGAACACCAGUGGCGAAAGCGACUCUUUGGUCUGUAACUGACGCUGAGGCGCGAAAGCGUGGGGAGCAAAC
rnacentral:rRNA from 1 species